GACAGAGGUGCCGAGCGUUAGGCGGAAUCACUGGGCUUAAAGCGUGUGUAGGCGGAUCUGUAAGUACCUUGUGAAAUCCCACGGCUCAACCGUGGAACUGCUUGGUAUACUGCGGGUCUUGAGCCACCUAGGGGCAAGUGGAACAAACGGUGGAGCGGUGAAAUGCGUAGAUAUCGUGUGGAACGCCAAUGGUGAAAACAACUUGCUGGGGGUGUGCUGACGCUGAGACACGAAAGCCAGGGGAGCAAACGGG
rnacentral:rRNA from 1 species